AUUCACAUGUUAUAAAAAUAAGCAGGCCUGACUAUGAAGCUGAUAGGUGACUUGGUCCAAGUUCAGUUGAAAGCCUGGUGGACCCAGGAUUCUAAAGCAGCUGGUUCAACAGCCACAGUUUGAGUUCAGUCUGGGUCUUGAGCAAGUUCAAUUUACUUUAGGCUCUCAUUUCCCAAAUGAGACUUCGGGUUUAAGCUUCAUGCAGACCAGUGCAUUAUCGAUUUGUGCAGAGGCACAGAAAAUAGACACGCAGAGCUGUGAGUUCCCUGAAAAAGAUAAGAGAUGGCUGCCAGAAUGAGCAGAGACGGCCACAGAAAGCCGAGUUGGGGUGAAUUCUCUGGUAGAGGCCCUGGCCUUUCCCCCAUGACUCUGGCUAUCACUUCCUCUUUCAGGCCUUAAAAAGACAUCGAAUAUUACUUGUCUGCUUGAAGAAUUACUGCCUGGUCAGGCAGGGGAAGACCAACUGGUGUGUGUCUUUUAAUACUGACACGAGGAUAUGGUUCCAGCUGGAAUCCCUCCACUGUCAAUUCUGGGGUCCUCCUGCGUUUCCACCCCUUCCUCUUCAUGCCCCCGCCCCUCACCGUGGCGCUUCAGUUUGAUGUUUUUUUGGUAUCAAAGGAAGGUCUCCAGGAACCCUGCAACUAAAGACUUUAAUGAGGACCAUGCCCACGAAAUCCUGGCUGCCAAAGACAUGAUGAUUUAUGCCCCUCACUCACUCCCUAACAGCAAGAGGACUAUUUGUAAAAAUAAAAAAGCCGCUCAUAUGGAAUUAAACAAGAGCAUAGCUGCUGCUUCCUUCCAGACCCCGGGAGCUUACCAAAGAGCAUCCACACUCCAGCAGCACAUGGCGCAGGGCCGAUAUUAG
rnacentral:lncRNA from 1 species